GAGCUGGGAGCGGAGCGGGGCGGAGCAGCGGCUCCUUCCCCGGCUGGGCCUGCGCCCGCGCCCGACGGGACUUUCUCCGGCUGGACCCGGCUCCGGGCUCUGCCGCCCCCGCCCGGAGCCGCAGGCACCAGGCUGCAGUGUGACAUCCGUGUUUUGCUCCGGAUCAGUCCAUCCUCCUGUGGGACAAGGAAGGGACAUGGCUGCAGUGGAGACCGUUCAGGCACCAGUGACCUUCGAGGAGGUGGCCGUGUAUGUCACCAGGGAAGAGUGGACUUUGC